AGAGUUUGAUCAUGGCUCAGAUUGAACGCUGGCGGCAGGCCUAACACAUGCAAGUCGAGCGGUAGCACAGAGAGCUUGCUCUCGGGUGACGAGCGGCGGACGGGUGAGUAAUGUCUGGGAAACUGCCUGAUGGAGGGGGAUAACUACUGGAAACGGUAGCUAAUACCGCAUAACGUCGCAAGACCAAAGUGGGGGACCUUCGGGCCUCAUGCCAUCAGAUGUGCCCAGAUGGGAUUAGCUAGUAGGUGGGGUAACGGCUCACCUAGGCGACGAUCCCUAGCUGGUCUGAGAGGAUGACCAGCCACACUGGAACUGAGACACGGUCCAGACUCCUACGGGAGGCAGCAGUGGGGAAUAUUGCACAAUGGGCGCAAGCCUGAUGCAGCCAUGCCGCGUGUGUGAAGAAGGCCUUCGGGUUGUAAAGCACUUUCAGCGGGGAGGAAGGCGUUAAGGUUAAUAACCUCAUCGAUUGACGUUACCCGCAGAAGAAGCACCGGCUAACUCCGUGCCAGCAGCCGCGGUAAUACGGAGGGUGCAAGCGUUAAUCGGAAUUACUGGGCGUAAAGCGCACGCAGGCGGUCUGUCAAGUCGGAUGUGAAAUCCCCGGGCUCAACCUGGGAACUGCAUUCGAAACUGGCAGGCUAGAGUCUUGUAGAGGGGGGUAGAAUUCCAGGUGUAGCGGUGAAAUGCGUAGAGAUCUGGAGGAAUACCGGUGGCGAAGGCGGCCCCCUGGACAAAGACUGACGCUCAGGUGCGAAAGCGUGGGGAGCAAACAGGAUUAGAUACCCUGGUAGUCCACGCCGUAAACGAUGUCGAUUUGGAGGUUGUGCCCUUGAGGCGUGGCUUCCGGAGCUAACGCGUUAAAUCGACCGCCUGGGGAGUACGGCCGCAAGGUUAAAACUCAAAUGAAUUGACGGGGGCCCGCACAAGCGGUGGAGCAUGUGGUUUAAUUCGAUGCAACGCGAAGAACCUUACCUGGUCUUGACAUCCACAGAACUUAGCAGAGAUGCUUUGGUGCCUUCGGGAACUGUGAGACAGGUGCUGCAUGGCUGUCGUCAGCUCGU
rnacentral:rRNA from 1 species